CCCUUAGAUGUUCUGGGCCGCACGCGUGCUACACUGACCGGCGCAACAAGCUUUUUUCCUUGGCUCGACAGGCCUGGGUAAUCUUCGAACGCCGGUCGUGAUGGGGAUAGACUUUUGCAAUUUUUGGUCUUCAACGAGGAAUUCCUAGUAAACGCAAGUCAUCAACUUGCAUUGAUUACGUCCCUGCCCUUUGUACACACCGCCCGUCGCACCUACCGAUUGAAUGGUCCGGUGAAGCCUCCGGAUUGGCGCGCACCUCGGUGCCGCCGAGAAGUUGGCUAAACCUUACCAUUUAGAGGAAGGUGAAGUCGUANCA
rnacentral:rRNA from 1 species